GUUCCCUCCGGCCCAUCGCGAGAGAAAACAUCCUUGCCUGGCUCUCUUCUAUUGAGGAAAAAGAUGCAGAAGGCAGUGGAUGUAGCACUCUCCCCGUUCAAGAUUCUGAUCGCACGUCUAUCUGGUCUUCCUCCAUCAUAGUUCCUCUAUUUUCCGCUCUAACUCUCCGAAUGCUGUUCCGUUUCAUGUGCGCAUUUAUAAUCGAAUUUCUGAUCCAUAAGUGCAAUUCUCGAUCGAUAGGUUUCCGCACCUUUCGCCGGGAGGUAUGGUAGAGUUCCGCAUCCCGAUUCUCGCUUGGAGGAUUGCAUUUCCGAGUGUGGAGGAUUCACAUUACUUAGUUAAGGAGGUAGUUCGAAUGAAGAUUCUCAUGUAUGCUUCCACUUUGGUUUAACAGAUCAUAGGUCUUUCUCCAUCUCUGUUAUAUUUAUAUAUUCAAAAAGGCUUAUUGGAUUUAAUGAAUAUUAACAUUUUGAAAAUUGAAAUUUGUUCGUACUUUUAGCAUUUCAUUCUGUAUCAUUGUCUUUCAUGUUGAUGUAUGAUGUCCUUCAAGAGGUUUGAUUUCCUAUGAGUGAGUUAUAUCCAUGGUUUUUCGGAAAAGUAUCCUUGAAGUUAUUAUAAUGGAAGGAAGGGUGUGAUAUCUCGUUAGAAAUUACCAUUGUUAAUGUAUUGGUAGUUUGAACUCAUGACAUAUUUUUUUCUAGAAAAUGAGCACUUCUUUCUUUCUUUCCUUGUUUGAGAACCUAAAUUUAUCUCCACAUUCAAGAAUAUGAUUGUCUUACGGAUAUCGCAGUAGCUUUCUAAAGUAGUUUAGUUGAGUGAUUGCGGAUCGCGUUAGUUUCAAUAAUUAGAAGUCCAAUUCCAUUAUUAGUGAAUUUGUUUUCAAUUAUAUCAAUCAUAAAAUUUGCAAAUUUAUUUCUAUUGGUGGCUAAUAGAUAAGGGCACGAUAAUAAUCAGAACUUUGUGAUUAUUCGAGCCAUUUUUGUCCACUACUGAUUUUUCUCAUAUUCCUUAGUUCUUGCGAACUAUUUAUGCUGCCAUGGAAUAGUUCAACUUAUAACCUUGUUCAUUCUAGAAACUAAAUGCAAGAGAAUCCAUAUUCUCUGGAAGUUAAGUCACAAACCCAUUGAAAUUGUAUGGUUUAUUUGCAAGUAUUUUGCUUUCCAAAUUGUUUUCCUGCAGAUCACUCAAUCUGUUGUCAACAUUCCUCAAGUCCUCUGUGUAACGGUGCCAUUGCGGAGACUUCAGAUGGGAAAAUUGUUUUGUUGCAAAGGAGUAGCAAUGUUGAUGAAUUUCCAGGAGGCCAUCUAGAGCCCCAAUAGCUUGGAAUAGCAUACCAUGAUGAUGUGAAAGGUUUUGCAGAUUCCAAUACCAUUAACAGAAGGCUUUCGUGGAAGAUGUUUGAAAGAAUUACCCGAGAAGUUGUUGAACAUAUGAGUACAAACAGAAUCCCUUAACAGCCAAGUCUCGAAGAUAAUUAAAUGUCAGACCAGCUGUUUUCUUCUUCAUAAAGAGUAUUCUGGAUUCUGUUAAAUUCAGGAACUGUAUACCAGUGCACAAGAUGAGUCUGCUCAACUUUAUACAGUUUCAUUGGUGAAGAGAGACGCGGUAUGGAAGUUGAAACAGAGAAGCUUAAGUGGACAUGAAAGGACGACUAGAGAUUCAAACUAAAGCAACUAGGAUUAAUCCAAGCAGGAAGGUAUGCCUUGUAUCUCAAUUAUCUUUCAUGGCAUUAAACGUGCUAGAUUAUUUGUUUAUGCCUUGAUUUUUUAUUAAAAAAAUGGGUCGAAUAUCACUAAGAAUCUUCCUUUUCUGUCAUGUCAUUUUUACUUUGACAAAAAAAGGUUCAGUAGGUCUAUCUAUUUAUCAGCAUCAACCAAUAAAAACAGACCAAAUAUAAAAGGAAGAAUUCCUACUUAUUUAUGGCAGUAACUAUUUUGAGUCCAUGAUCUUUCUUUCUCAUAUUUUGUUGGCAUAAUUACAUUUUCAUGCGGUUGAUGAGAUUAUUGAGAGUGAGCCCCACAUUGGUUAAUUUAGUUAAUUUAGUGGAAGAUCAUCGAUUUAUAAGCGAGGAAUACUAUCUCCAUAUAAGGACUUUUGGAGAAGUCCAAAACAAAGCUACGAAAGCUUAUAGUCAGAGUGGACAAUAUCAUAUGUGAAAAGUCGUGAUUCCUAACAAGAACACACUUCUCUAUAGGUUUAAUACUGUGGACAUGUCGGUCAAUACACUAGGAGUUAUAGCAAUGGAUUGUCAAAGCAGAUGGAUUAAUUUUUUUUCUUCUUAAGAAAAUGUAAGCAUUUGACUAUCCUCUAAGCCCAUCAUUUAUCAUCACCCAUGUGAAGACUAGUUUCUAUAGCUCAAGGACGACAAUUUCAUCCCUUCCCAUGGUAAAUAACCCAUACAAAUAAGUCAUGCUGUAAAUGUCAAAACUUGAUCGAUUAAAAUUGGUAGGUGGUUGACUCUUGAAAGUGAUAGAUAAAAAAAAGGAUGGCAGCAGUUGUUUACUUUUGUGCAUUAUUAAAGCAAUCUACCACUGUGAAAAUUGAACUGCCUCAAGUUUCGAAAGUGACCGUUUUGGUUUCUCACACAGAGGUUAAGACGAUUGGAUGAAAAUAAAGCAACCUUUGUUGGCCAAGUCCACAGUCAACAACCCAUUACUGGAUUUUUAACAUUUGUGGACUUUUCUUUCCCCCAUCCUUUUAUUUUAUUUCUUAAAUUAACAUAAUGUCUAUUUGUUGAUGAGCAUGGAGGGCCCCACAUGGGCAAGUCACUUCGUCUUCAUGUGAAGUAUAUUGGCCCAAAUUCGAAGAACAACCGAGCUCGCCACACGUGAGGUUAGUUGCCUUUAAAAGAUUCCUUUUACAUUACGCGUGUAACGCACCAAUUGAGGAUCCCAUUUGUUUUCAUUUUUAUUCCUUUUUAUAGAAUACAACUUGUGUCUUAACUAAUUAAAAAAAAAAUUCAAACAUACUUUUUAAAAUCAUCUAAUUUCUAUUAAAUAUAUAAUGUUUUACGACUUUAAUAGUACUUGAUAGGCUCACUCAUUA